rnacentral:lncRNA from 1 species
AAACAUGUGGCAGCAUAAGAUUUAUCCUCAACCUCGACUGAAACAGUUUUCAGUUCCAUCACUAACUCUGCUAGAAACUAACCUCUAAACUCUCAAAAUGUGUGGAGCAUCUCAUCCUUUAUAGCAAUCUGAUAUUGAAGAAAGCACUUCCUCCAGAAAAUUUAAUUUCCUUGAUACCUGAAGCAGAAUACUUAUCUACACAAGGGAGUUGUAACAUAUAAGAAAACUAACAUGAUAAGAUCAACGGAUUACCUAAGUCAGGAAAAAUGCAGACAUGUAUUCCCCUUCGUGCUUCUUUGCAACCUCCUCUCUUUGUUGCCAGGUUAAGUAAGACAAUCUGUAGUUAAAAAAAACAAUAGGUGAAAAUCAUGAUUGUCUGCCCCAAUUGAUCGACCAACGAUGGUCCGAUACAAAACAGAGGAAUAAAACAGCGACCAGGGCGAUCGUUCUACGAAAUAUAUGAUAAUCUCAUAUACAUUCGUAGUACAAUCAAAAAUAAAAAUAUGAAUUAGAAGGAAAUGCAUUAUUUUCCAUUUUUUAGUACUUCAGGAAUGUAGCAGGACAAGUUGUAUAACGUGACAUCAGACCAGCAACUUCCUUGAAUCAAGCAUGCUUAUAUCAUUUCAUAAUAUGAGCUUGCACACAAGACUCAAAUGGGAGCAUGAGGUAGGCCGUUUCUUCUAGCUAGUUAUAAGAUUGAUGUGGUGUAUUGAUAAAAAAUAUAAUGGAAUUAUCACCAUGAACUAUACCCUAUGCAAGGUACAUAUACAGAAAGAACUACAGAGGGACCAUGUUAAAACUGUUCUAGAAGGGGAGAUAAUUGAACAGCAUAGAAUCCUUCCUCCUGAAGCCUCGUAUAAUGCGUGCGCUUGAGAUCACGCUUGAGUUCUCUUCCUAUCAAGAUCCUCAUGAAAAGAGAAUAAUAAUAGUAAUAAAAAAUCACGGAUAAUAAACAGUACUGCAUCGGUAAUGUAUACAUAAGGGGCCUUGCAAACAGGUCUAAACUGCAGAAAGAUAUUUUUAUGUUCAUCCUCUUUUCUGGCAAGAGCUAUUAAUCAUUUCAAAUGGUGGAUUAUGUAGAUUAUCAUUUGUGAUUAUAAUCACAAGGACAAUACAGUGUAAUAGAUAUAAAAAUAGAACAUGGUAGUAUAAUUUAUGUUUAAUAGUCCCUGACAUGAAAACAUGACAAAGGGGGGAAUUUCCCUGUCCAACAAUGUCUACCGUCAUUAAAAAGAACGACAAUUGAUCACCAAACCUAUGGAGUACUGAAAUUUCCUCUCAUUCCAGAACUUGUACUAUUCAAGACAACAACAUUUCAAGUGCACUUAAAUAUGUUUAACAAAAUGAAUGGUAAAUAAAUAAACAUACCCAGGGGAUGCAC